AGACGUCUACAUUAGAUACCCCUGUAGUCCCAGCCGUAAACUAUGCGCGUUAGGUGUAUCGGUGACCACGAGUCACCGAGGUGCCGAAGGGAAACCGUGAAACGUACCGCCUGGGAAGUACGGUCGCAAGGCUGAAACUUAAAGGAAUCGGCGGGGAGCACCACAACGGGUGGAGCCUGCGGUUUAAUUGGACUCAACGCCGGGAAGCUCACCGGAUAAGACAGCGGAAUGAUUGCCGGGCUGAAGACUCUGCAUGACUAGCUG
rnacentral:rRNA from 1 species